rnacentral:lncRNA from 1 species
GAGAGACGAGAGGGAAGUGAAACAUCAUAACUGCCAAUUGCCAUCAGAAACGUUUUCUCUCUACCUCUGGGUUGCUUUCACCAAAUGAUUUUACCUUAUGGAAUUCUAGUAGUUAUAACUAUGCAGGAUAGAUAGAAAAAAGAUAUAUUGUUCAGAACAAUGGGUUGUGCGAUGUCAGUCAUUCCUUACCUCAUUUCAACUUUCCAUGGCAUGGAAGAGGUUAAGAGUCAAGUGGAAAAGACAUCAAUUGACUUGGCAAAGCCAUGUGUUGAAUGCAACUCAUCUCAACUUCCAUUUUUCUGUGAGAAAAAUGCUGUUGAAAUGUUAGGGGAAAUUUGCCGAUUCAGGUUCGAAUCUACUCUAUGCCCAAAUGAAGUCACUACAUAUAUAUAUAUAUAUAUAUAUAUAUAUAUAUACAAUUAUUAAGUAUGAAAAUGGAGUGAUCUAAUGGAUAAAUUAACUUGUAUCCAUUAGAUCUCUCCAUUUGCAUAUAAACAUAUGUGUAUAUAUACAUUGGGUCAUGCCAUAAAUGAUGUGGGGUUUUUUUCAAAUCCAUGAACUAAAAGUCGGAGGGGAAUGGGAUAAACUACCUGCAUCAACUUGCUAUAAAAGCAGGUAGUAAUUUUACCUUGUGCUUGUUCUUAGUGCAAGUUUUGAAGAGUGCAGUUCAAUUUUAACAGUUAUUUUUUCAAAGCUAUAAUGGAAGUGACAAAGAAACAUAUAUUGGCAUAUUUUGCUUUAUGAGUUCAAUAAAGGCAUCAAUGCAACAGAAAGUGUGAAGAAUAUUAAAUGCAGUAUAUGGGGAUUGGACAAGUAUAAGCCAGUGUCAAUGGUGGUUCCAGAUAUUCUGAGCUGGAAACUACAGUCUAGAAGACAAGUCUCAUCCUGGAAGAUCUGUAGAGCUCGACAAAGACAUCCUGCAAACCCUGGCGGAACAAAAUCCCAUCGUAACUGUUGAGGAAUUAGCAGAGAAGCUUGGAUUUGGUCAUUCAACCAUUCAUCGACACCUUUGUACCAUUGGAAAAAUCAACAAAUUGGGUCAAUGGAUUCUAAGUCUAAUUGCAUACAGAGAGUGAAUGUGUGCUCUUCUUUGCUAUCACAUCUCACAAAUGAACCUUUCUUGGACCGAAUAGUGACUGGUUUUGAGAAAUGGGUUCUCUAUAAAAAUGUCAAGUGCUGAAGACAGUGGGUAGGAAAAGGAGAAACACCAGCACCCCAGGCUAAAGAAGAUCUUCACCCAUGUAAGGUGUUGUUAUCUGUUUGGUGGGAUAUGAAAGGUUUAGUCCACUUUGAACCUUUAAACCCAAACCAAACAAUAACAAAAGAGAACAGCAAGCAGCUUAAGUCAGUGCUAAAAGAAAAACAACUAUGUUGGGUUUCAAGACGAAAGGUGUUCUUCCAUCAGGAUAAUGCUCAGCCACAUUCAGCAAAGAUGACAUUUCAAAGGCUGGAGCAGUUUGAAUGGGAAAUGAUGCCCCACCCACGAUAUUUGCUGGAAAUUGCGCCAUCUGAUUAUCAUUUAUUCUGCAGUCUUCAAAAUCAUUUCAACAGAAAAAAUAUGCAUUCUGUAGACAAGGUUAAAACAGUACUGGAGGAGUAUUUUCUGUCAGAGACAAGUGAAUUUUGGAAGAGGGGCCUUACAAGUUUACCGGAUAAAUAGAAGAGCAUUGUAGUAGAAAAUGAAGGAGAGUAUAUUUUAGAUUAAAAGUGAAAUUUGU